rnacentral:rRNA from 1 species
CCCUUAGAUGUUCUGGGCCGCACGCGCGCUACACUAAUGCAUUCAACGAGCCUAUCCUUGACCGACAGGUCCGGGUAAUCUUUGAAUCUGCAUCGUGACGGGGAUAGAUUAUUGCAAUUAUUAAUCUUCAACGAGGAAUGCCUAGUAGGCGCAAGUCAUCAGCUUGCGUCGAUUACGUCCCUGCCCUUUGUACACACCGCCCGUCGCUCCUACCGAUUGGGUGUGCUGGUGAAAUGUUCGGAUCGGCCGUUUGUCGCGGUUUCCGCGUCAUGUGGCUGAGAAGUUCAUUAAACCCUCCCACCUAGAGGAAGGAGAAGUCGUAACA